rnacentral:tRNA from 1 species
GCCGGGGUGGCGGAAUUGGUAGACGCAGCGGACUUAAAAUCCGCUGAGGGUUAUCCCUCGUGCGGGUUCGAGCCCCGCCCUCGGUACCA